rnacentral:lncRNA from 1 species
GCCGCGGGCCGGGAGGGGCGGCGGCAUCCGCGGCGGCCGCGGGGGAGGGGCACGGCGUCAGCGCGUCGCCGGCUGGGCCGCGCCGGUGGCCAGGAGGGAGAGACAAGGAGGAGGAGGAGGAGGAGGUAUCUCUGCAUUAGCCAGAUUGGACAUAUGUAAAGGGACAUCAGUAUAUCUGGAUAAUCAGGUGUGCUUCAAGAAGACCAUAGGGAAGAACGCAUUUUCAUCUUGCUGCAAAAGUUGCAAUAGAACCUCCCACAUGCUUAGUGUUCAGUUCUGCCUACUGAGCGUCUUGAAUCUACAGCAGCACCUACAUGUACUGCCUCCACAGUGGCUGCUGAUAAUUUGCAGAUAA